CUAUGUUACGACUUAUCUUACUUUAAUAAUAAGAGCGACGGGCGAUGUGUACAUAUUUUAGAGCUAAAGUCAAAUUUUUAAUCUUUAAAAUUUUACUACCAAAUCCACUUUCAUUAAAUAUUUCAAAUUUAAAUUCAUUUAAAUAAAUUUAUUGUAACCCAUUUCUACUUAAAUAUAAGCUACACCUUGAUCUGAUAUUAAUUUUAUUAUAAAUUUAUGAAAAUUAUUUUUCUAAAAAAAUAUUCUAAUAACGACGGUAUAUAAACUGAAUUACAAAUUUAAGUAAGGUACAUUGUGGAUUAUCAAUUACAGAACAGGUUCCUCUGAAUAGACUAAAAUACCGCCAAAUCUUUUAAGUUUCAAGAACAUAGCUAUUACUACUUAAGUGUUUAAAAUUACAUUUUUAAUAAUAGGGUAUCUAAUCCUAGUUUA
rnacentral:rRNA from 1 species